AUUGAACGCUGGCGGCAUGCCUUACACAUGCAAGUCGAACGGCAGCACGGGGCAACCUGGUGGCGAGUGGCGAACGGGUGAGUAAUGCAUCGGAACGUACCUUUCAGUGGGGGAUAACGUAGCGAAAGUUACGCUAAUACCGCAUAUUCUGUGAGCAGGAAAGCAGGGGAUCGCAAGACCUUGCGCUGAUUGAGCGGCCGAUGUCAGAUUAGUUAGUUGGUGAGGUAAAGGCUCACCAAGGCGACGAUCUGUAGCGGGUCUGAGAGGAUGAUCCGCCCCACUGGAACUGAGACACGGUCCAGACUACUACGGGAGGCAGCAGUGGGGAAUUUUGGACAAUGGGGGCAACCCUGAUCCAGCCAUGCCGCGUGAGUGAAGAAGGCCUUCGGGUUGUAAAGCUCUUUCGGCCGGGAAGAAAUCGCACGGGCUAAUACCCUGUGUGGAUGACGGUACCGGAAUAAGAAGCACCGGCUAACUACGUGCCAGCAGCCGCAGUAA
rnacentral:rRNA from 1 species